GGAAUACCCGCUGAACUUAAGCAUAUCAAAAAGCCUAGCUC
rnacentral:rRNA from 1 species